rnacentral:rRNA from 1 species
GAUGAACGCUGGCGGCGUGCCUAAUACAUGCAAGUCGAGAGAACGGACGAGAAGCUUGCUUUUCUGAUGUUAGCGGCGGACGGGUGAGUAACACGUGGAUAACCUACCUAUAAGACUGGGAUAACUUCGGGAAACCGGAGCUAAUACCGGAUAAUAUUUUGAACCGCAUGGUUCAAAAGUGAAAGACGGUCUUGCUGUCACUUAUAGAUGGAUCCGCGCUGCAUUAGCUAGUUGGUAAGGUAACGGCUUACCAAGGCAACGAUGCAUAGCCGACCUGAGAGGGUGAUCGGCCACACUGGAACUGAGACACGGUCCAGACUCCUACGGGAGGCAGCAGUAGGGAAUCUUCCGCAAUGGGCGAAAGCCUGACGGAGCAACGCCGCGUGAGUGAUGAAGGUCUUCGGAGCGUAAAACUCUGUUAUUAGGGAAGAACAUAUGUGUAAGUAACUGUGCACAGCUUGACGGUACCUAAUCAGAAAGCCACGGCUAACUACGUG